AGUGCCACCCUGCGCACUGCAAUACAUGAGAUGCUCGGGGCAUUGAUAGCUGUGCUGAUAUAGUUCAUGUAUGCAUGCUAUGACUCAUACAUAGAACAAUACCGUAUUGAAUGGUCCAAUGAGCAUGAGAUCUAGCCUAGUCUCCUGUCUAUGGGAGAUUUCUGCUCGAAACAUGGGAUUUGUAGUGUUGGUGUUCGCUCC
rnacentral:lncRNA from 1 species